rnacentral:rRNA from 1 species
ACGGAGGAUCCGAGCGUUAUCCGGAUUUAUUGGGUUUAAAGGGUGCGUAGGCGGGAUAAUAAGUCAGCGGUGAAAGUUUGUCGCUUAACGAUAAAAUUGCCAUUGAAACUGUUAAUCUUGAGUAUAUUGGAAGUAGGCGGAAUGUGUAGUGUAGCGGUGAAAUGCAUAGAUAUUCCGCAGAACCCCGAUUGCGAAGGCAGCUUACUAUAAUACAACUGACGCUGAUGCACGAAAGCGUGGGUAUCAAACAG